ACAAAGGAAAGGCGGCUCCCCGCGCCCGAGGGAACUAAAGAGCUAGAGGCUGUUUCCCCGGGAAUGCAGGGCUCCCUGCAAUGCAAUGAACCAACCCUUGUUCAGCUCCGGGUUAACAAAGAAAGGGAACCAUCCAGUGUUCACCCAGAGCCUUUGAAAAUAACCCCAUGCUACCAACCUAAACAACGCUUUAGGGACAUUUUCUUUCUGCCCCGAGAGAGGCUCAGCUCUUUGAUGAAAGAAAAAGGUGCUUGUUUUGUGUUUUGAAACAGGUUCUCACCGUGUAGACCAGGCUGGCCUCUGCCACUCCGGCACACCAAGUCCAAUUUGUGCUGAGGAUAUUCUCAUGGGUGUUGGGCCAACCACUGGAGGGAUGGCAUACCUACCAUGUAGUGGUUAGCUGUUCCAGCUUUGCCCUGGAAGUACUACCCCCAUUGAGGCUUCCGCUAACUGUCAUGCCUACAAGGCAGAGAGGAGAGAGGAGUCCUUAAGACCCAAGAUCCGGAUGGGCCGGCUCUCUUGGUUCCUGGAUCCUGGACGCUGGAGGUAGACCGAGCAGAGUUCUCCAGAGAACACCGCUGGACUGCGCUACACCUUUCCCGGACCCUGUAACCUAUCCCUUCACUUCACAUAUCAGAGUCUGGUACCUCGCAGGGCUGUGGCAAUGCCAGGAUGUGGGACAGCAAAGCAGGAGUGUGAAGCGCACAGAUCGUUGGUGCAGACAUGUUUAACUGCUUGUUCGGCCGUGAUUGACCUCAUUCUCCAUGCGUGCCUGCCACACUAUUCCCAGUCCCUAGACCACAGUGUCGAUAGUUUCCGAUGGUGACGGGCAUGAACAGCAGGAAGCAGCACAAGCAAUGUCUUCCUCCACCUCAGCAUGCAUUUUCAGGGUCUGGGAAGCUACUGUCCUCUGUUCAGAGCACCUGCAGGAGGGCAACAGUGGAUGAACACGGAUGCUGUGCCAGGGCACUGGGGUGGAGAGCCCGGCCCAGGCACUGCUGUCCCACAGAAGAGCACCCUCCUCCAGCAGCCAGGAGGACACAGGCAGGGGUCUCUUCCACACAGUGCUUGGAAAGGCACAGCCAUGCUAUGGUUCUUUGGACUUUUAUUUUCUGUAACCUAACCCUACCACCACCACCAUGUUUACUCAGUCUACUGCCACACAGGGCAUGUACCAUACAACCGAUUAAAGUCUUCUAAAGGACA